rnacentral:pre_miRNA from 1 species
CUUAUACUCCCUCCGUUCGGAAUUACUUGUCGCGGGAAUGGAUGUAUCUAGACGUAUUUUAGUUCUAGAUACAUCCAUUUCCGAGACAAGUAAUUCCGAACGGAGGGAGUACAUU